AUUGAACGCUGGCGGCAGGCCUAACACAUGCAAGUCGAACGGUAACAGGAAGAAGCUUGCUUCUUUGCUGACGAGUGGCGGACGGGUGAGUAAUGUCUGGGAAACUGCCUGAUGGAGGGGGAUAACUACUGGAAACGGUAGCUAAUACCGCAUAACGUCGCAAGACCAAAGAGGGGGACCUUCGGGCCUCUUGCCCUCGGAUGUGCCCAGAUGGGAUUAGCUAGUAGGUGGGGUAACGGCUCACCUAGGCGACGAUCCCUAGCUGGUCUGAGAGGAUGAUCAGCCACACUGGAACUGAGACACGGUCCAGACUCCUACGGGAGGCAGCAGUGGGGAAUAUUGCACAAUGGGCGCAGGCCUGAUGCAGCCAUGCCGCGUGUAUGAAGAAGGCCUUCGGGUUGUAAAGUACUUUUAGUGGGGAGGAAGGGAGUAAAGUUAAUACCCUGCCGUAUUGACGGUACCCGAAGAAGAAGCACCGGCUAACUCCGUG
rnacentral:rRNA from 1 species